rnacentral:rRNA from 1 species
GGAAAGAUGAAAAGAACUUUGAAAAGAGAGUUAAACAGUACGUGAAAUUGUUGAAAGGGAAACGAUUGAAGUCAGUCAUACCAACGGGAAAUCAACCUUUAGAGUUUGGUCUUGUGGGUUUCGGAGAGUUUAAAAGCCUUCGGAUUCGUUAGGAUUGGGCUCUUUUGGUGUACUUUCUCGUACGGUUAGUCAACAUCGGUUUUGAAUGUCAUAAAAUGACUGGAGGAAUGUGGCUUCGAUCUCGUAUCGAAGUGUUAUAGCCUUUGGUAGAUGUGAUGUUCGAGUCCGAGGAUUGCAACGGAUACCCUUCUGGGCUAUUCGUCUGAUCUCUGAUACGUUGCCUUGAUGUCGAAAGCUUGCUUAUGAUGUUAGGGUAUUACGGUCAAAAGGUUAGAACGGAUUAAAUUCGUUAAGGAUGUUGACGUAAUGACUUUAAACGACCCGUCUUGAAACACGGACCA